rnacentral:rRNA from 1 species
AUUGAACGCUGGCGGCAUGCCUUACACAUGCAAGUCGAACGGUAACGCGGGGCAACCUGGCGACGAGUGGCGAACGGGUGAGUAAUGCAUCGGAACGUGCCCAGUAGUGGGGGAUAGCUCGACGAAAGUCGAAUUAAUACCGCAUACGACCUAAGGGUGAAAGGGGGGAGUCGCAAGACCUCUCGCUAUUGGAGCGGCCGAUGUCAGAUUAGGUAGUUGGUAGGGUAAAGACCUACCAAGCCUAUGAUCUGUAGCUGGUCUGAGAGGACGACCAGCCACACUGGGACUGAGACACGGCCCAGACUCCUACGGGAGGCAGCAGUGGGGAAUUUUGGACAAUGGGCGCAAGCCUGAUCCAGCCGUGCCGCGUGCGGGAAGAAGGCCUUCGGUU